rnacentral:rRNA from 1 species
AUUGAACGCUGGCGGCAGGCCUAACACAUGCAAGUCGAACGAGUGGCGGACGGGUGAGUAAUGUCUGGGAAACUGCCCGAUGGAGGGGGCUAACUACUGGAAACGGUAGCUAAUACCGCAUACCAUCGGAUGUGCCCAGAUGGGCUUAGCUAGUAGGUGGGGUAAGGGCUCACCUAGGCGACGAUCCCUAGCUGGUCUGAGAGGAUGACAAGCCACACUGUAUCGGAGCCGCGGGCCAGACUCAUACGGGAGGCAGAAGUGGGGAAAAGUGUACAAGGGGCGCAAGCCGGAUGCAGCCAUGCCGCGUGGAGGAAGAAGGCCUUCGGGUUGUAAAGUACUUUCAGCGAGGAGGCGUGACUCGCAGAAGAAGCACCGGCUAACUCCGUGCCAGCAGCCGCGGUAAUAC